AUGGGAACGCGAAGAACCUUACCUACUCUUGACAUCCAGAGAACUUAGCAGAGAUGCUUUGGUGCCUUCGGGAACCCUGAGACAGGUGCUGCAUGGCUGUCGUCAGCUCGUGUUGUGAAAUGUUGGGUUAAGUCCCGCAACGAGCGCAACCCUUAUCCUUUGUUGCCAGCGGUUAGGCCGGGAACUCAAAGGAGACUGCCAGUGAUAAACUGGAGGAAGGUGGGGAUGACGUCAAGUCAUCAUGGCCCUUACGAGUAGGGCUACACACGUGCUACAAUGGCGCAUACAAAGAGAAGCGACCUCGCGAGAGCAAGCGGACCUCAUAAAGUGCGUCGUAGUCCGGAUUGGAGUCUGCAACUCGACUCCAUGAAGUCGGAAUCGCUAGUAAUCGUAGGUCAGAAUGCUACGGUGAAUACGUUCCCGGGUCUUGUACACACCG
rnacentral:rRNA from 1 species